rnacentral:lncRNA from 1 species
UCUUACUGUGUCUAUGCUGCAUUAAAACAGGAAAAAGAAACAGGGGCCAUCCAUUCUAACAAUGUAUUUUAUUCAACUCUCUGUUUAAAAUGCUAUCUCAAUCUAUGAUUAAUGUAAAAUUGUGAAUGUGAUACCGUGCUUCCUUUUCACCCCGAGUCUUUGACAUGUGGUAUGAUUUUGACACUGGUAGCCUAUCUGUGACAGCUUCCUUGUAUCGUGUGCCUGGUGGCCUCCUGUGACUGGCAGCCGCCGUGUGGGACAUGCAGGUCUGAGGGUGAGAUGGGGCUGGGCGAGGGGCAGCGAUGCUCAGGUGGCUCCUGGGAGGGUGUGGUCCUGAUGAAGAGAAGCAAGGCCAGCCUCCUCCGAGAGGGAGGGCACUGUGUUUCAGAUGGAUGAGUGGCCUCCUCCUGGGCGAGCUAGCUGUGGGGCCGUGUUUCCUGGAAGAAGCCGUCAUCUCUGGGGAGAGCGGCAGAACUCGAGGGAGCCACCUCAGCCUCCCCAGAGCCCGCAGCCGCAUAGGAAGCCCCUUCCCACUGGGCUCUGCGCUCCUGCACGAGGGUUCUUGCUUCAGGAAGAAAGUGGGUGUCGCUUCGCUCCUGUGGGGCAGAGAGACGGGGCUGUGAGAAGUGAGUUGUGGAGGUGGGUGAGGCUGGAGGCCCACACAGCUCCAGGGGCGUAAGCUCCACGCCCCCAAAUAAAGAAACCUGGACCCUUCCUGUAAGUCUCUCUGACUCCUGCAAUGCUGGGUGUAGGAACGUUUGCUUGACCGUCCAGGUAGGAGAAUCAUGUUAAAAAUGGCCAUUUUUCUACCAAAAAGCAGGAGUAGACCUGCUGUAAACUUGAUAGCUAUGGGAUCUUGUCUGUGUCUCAUCUUUUUUUUUUUUUUUUUUUUGGAGACAGAGUCUCACUCUGUCACCCAGGCUGGAGUGCAGUGGUGCCAUCUCAGCUCACUGCAACCUCUGCCUUCCGGGUUCAAGCGAUUCUCCCGCCUCAGCCUCCUGAGUAGCUGAGAUUACAGGCGCCCGCCACGCCCGGCUACAUUUUUGUAUUUUUAGUAGAGACGGGGUUUCGCCAUGUUGGUCAGGCUGGUCUUGAACUCCUGAACUCGUGAUCUGCCUGCCUCGGCCUCCCAAACACUUUGGGGGGCCAAGGUGGGUGGAUCACCUGAGGUCAGGAGUUCAAGACCAGCCUGACCAAUAUGGUGAAACCGUGUCUCUACUAAAAAUACAAAAAUUAGCUGGGCUGUGGUGGCAUGUGCCUAUAAUUCCAGCUACUCAGGAGGCUGAGGGAGAAUUGCUUGAACCCAGGAGGCAGAGGUUGCAAUGAGCCAAGAUUGUGCCAUUGCACUCCAGCUUGGGUGAGAGAGGGAGACCCUGUGCCAAAAAAAAAAAAAAAAAA